ensembl:lncRNA
CACACACACACAUCCUUAAAGGGCAACUUCACCCAUUUCACUUAAGCUUUGUAUCGCUAGAAACACACUCAUAUUUUUGAAUGGUCGAGCAUCAUUCCCUUAUUUUCUGGAGAGACUGGAGGGAUCUGUAUCAAUCUCAAACACAAUGACGCAAUAUGACGAUUUUUGCGUACAAGAAAAUAGGAAGUGCAAGAGGGGAUGAUUCUCGUAAGACUACAACCAUGGGUGGGACCCAAUGACGCUACAGACCUAUUAGAGCAGUGCCAGUGGGUGGGACUUCACCAGCAGAAACUAACAUCCACAGCGUCUGAAGCUAAGCUAACAGAGGCUGUUGAUAAAACUGAAGUACAAUGGCGGAGGGUACUGGACCUGACAUAGAAGAUGGCACCAUGCAAAAGUUCACCAUUUCGAAAGAAAUACAAACGAGGACUACCGUAUUUUCCGCACUGUAAGGCGCACCGGAUUAUAAGGCGCACCUUCAAUGAAUGGCCUAUUUUAGAACUGUUUUCAUAUAUAGGGCGCACCGGAUUAUAAGGCGCAUAGAAUGGAAGAUACUGCAGUCAAACGUUUGACUGGGGUUGCGUUAUGCAUCGACUAGAUGGAGCUGUGCUAAAGGGAAUGUCAACAAAACAGUCAGAUAAAGUCAAACUUUAUUAAGCGUUCUGACAACUCCGUUCACUCCCAUGGUAACGAUGUUCAAACGUUAAUGUGCAUAUUAACAAUAUCUCCCAGCCUUGUUCAGUUGUAAACACGUAAAAGAAACACAGUCUGAUAUUGCUAAUUCAAACGUUAGUGCAUAACUCAACAUUGUUCAGUUACGUAUAACACGUAAAGCUCACUUUUUCAGUUCAUUCCCCGUCCACGAAUCCCUCAUUUCUUCUUCUUCAGUGUCCGAAUUGAACAGUUGGGCGAGUACGGCAUCCAACAUGCCCGGCACCCUCUCGUCAUUAUCCGAGUCAGUGUCGCUGCUGUUGCCUGGCAGUUCAGUGAUUAUUCCUGCCUUCGUGAAAGCUUGGACCACAGUUGAGAUCAGCCCAGGCAUCCACGAUCCAUUGGCAGAUAGUGGCGUAAGUCGCCCGGCGCUGACCCAAUUUCAAUACAUAUUCAUGCCUCCACCGGUGAAAUGCUCCUUUAAGUGCCAUCCCAGGUUGUACCCCCAUGGUGGAGGAGGAGCUAGCCCACAAGUUCUCCAUAGUAAGGUCAUGCUUUCAUACUUUGUUGUCCGAACUUCGCUGUCUAUACAAAAAGCGUCGGGCCAUUAACAAGCCUGAGGAACACCUAAAAUGGCGGCAGUUAGCGAAAAUGAAAAGGCCUCCAAUGGGAUACUCAUCAUGGUUGUUGACUGUAUUGUAUUCUACCCGCUUAUAGGGCGAUUAGCCGAUUCCCGGAAUCAUUCCGCUUAUCGGAAACGGUCUGGGAAGGCUUAUUUCUGCUAAACGCAUCGCAGCCAUCUGUAGAGGAAGAUAAUGGCACAUUAUCUUCGUGUGAUAACGUGUGUGUGUGCAUAUG